rnacentral:snRNA from 1 species
AUGCUUGCUCUACAGCACAUACACUAAAAAUUAGAAUGAUACAGAGGAAGAUCAGCAUGGCCUCUACUCAAAUAUGGCAUGCAAAUUUGUGAAGCACUCUGUAUUUUU